rnacentral:ncRNA from 1 species
AUGAAAUUGUUGACAGGGAAGAGUAUAAAACAUUAGACCAUCACAGAAAGGAUCUUCAUGGCUGAGAGAGAUCCAUGGUCGGGUUUUAGAAGUGCGCCCUUAAGACCUUUGAAGAACAUUUUGCGAAAAAUAAGUAUUCAAAGGCGGAUGCCGCCGUUAUCGGUUAAAGUUGGGAGAACAGUGAUCUGUUUUUCAAACAGAGUGGAACCGCGCGGUAAAAGCGUCUCUGUC